UAACCACGUUCCAUUAGAUAAUUAAGCCUUAUGAUAAUUUGAGAAAAUCAACAAAAAUAAUCUUUUGUUUAGUUUUAUAAUCUUUAGUUUUUAGGAUUAAUUUUAGAAUUGGAAGCAUGUUGCUCUAAUUAGUUCAUUGUACAUAACUUUCACAUGAAUCCAUCCCUUUGAUUAAGUUGAUAAAACUAUAUUUUGAUUAAUUAAAUACUUUGAUUAUGUAUAAUCCUCGGUAUAUUCAACUGAUCAAAAGUCUUUUGAUCACUUGGUAAGACCAAGAUCAUUCUCUUACAAAGUUUCAUUUUUAUAUACAAAUACCAUUUGCAAGUGCAUACAAAGAAAUUUAACAAAAAUAUCAUUUUGACCUAAAGGUUGACUUUGGUUAAUAUUUGACUUUUUGGUCAAGUUUGACCUAAGUCAACACACGUUUUCUAAAGUCUUGAAUUUCAUAAUCUUCACUCUUUGUGCUUCAUUCUCCAUUUCAUCAAUCUUCCAUUCAUUUGGUUUACCAUUUCAAGCAAGCAUGUUUUCUUGCACUUAACCAUGAUCAAGGAGCUUUCAUAAUGACCAUGGUGAAGCUUCGGUUCAAAUGCACACCAGUCCUCCAUACAAAUCAGCAACCCAAUCAAGAUUUAUACUAGAUUAUGACCAUGUACAUAACAUUUCAUUCAUAAACAACUAGCAUAUUAACCAAAACAAGUGUCAACCAAUUUCAAUAAAUCAAAAUUCAACCUGCUUAUCCCAAGCAUGUAUAGCAUGUUGACAUCAUUUAAAAAUGACUAUUCCAUUUAUGAACUAUGCAACUAACCCUAACCAACAUCAAUCAGCCCAUAACAAGUUCAAGAUACAUUGAUCACAAUCAUUUUGACACUCACAUUUUCAGUUGAGGUGAAUUUCAGUUGAAUUUCUAACUGAAUCACAGUCCAUAAAUUCACUUCAUCAUCACAAGUUCAGGGGGAAUCAUUCACCAACUUUCCUCAAUCCAAAUCCUCAUCUUCCUCUCUCAUUUCUCUCUGAAUAUCUCCCCUCACCCUCACAACAUUCUCCAAUCACCCUUGUUGUUAGAGCUUCAACAUCUGAAGCUCUAAAUAGUUGAGCUAAAACUUCUUCCAUACUUCUCUCACGCAUACGACGCAACAACAAUGGCACAAAGCUAAGCACUACAAAAACUCCUACAAGCUAGCAAUAUGAAGGAGAAGAAGAUAAGUGUUUCAGACAAAAUUGAAAAGAUAGAGUGAAGAACCGUCAGAGUUACUCCGGAAGAAUUUUUGGACAAGAAAGCUUUGGAAUGCAUAAGCAUAAUUUGGAAGAAGUGUUGAAUGCAAUAUGGAGGCCUAUUUUUGAAGAAUUACAUUUGGACGACUAAUUGGAUGAAGUUUGCAAGGCAAGGAAGCUGAAGUAGCUUCAGUUCGCGCCGCGAAGCUUGCGAAUCCAGCAAGUUGUUUUGGCCAAGUGUGUUGUUUUCAAGGUCAGCUGUGUUUUGCCAUUUCUGUGUCUGUUUUAGGGGGCUUUUCAGCUUUAGAUGAAAAUGAGCAUUUUAGGAAAGGUCAACCCUUUUUAGAAAACAGAAUGGAAAUUGUUGAGGGAUUCAUUCAUAGUUUUGAUAUUUUGUAAGAAAAAAACAGAGUUUAUUCUUCCAUUGCCUUUUGCUUUCCACAAUGAUGAUGAGAAGCUAAACCCCAUUUUGUCAAGAUUGGAGGUAGUAGCUAUUCUUAUUUGGUUAUGUAUUUCAUUUGACUUUUAUAUAUGAUGAAAGAUUGUUGAUGUAUUGAAAGAUAUUUUUGCCCUAAUUUGAAUAUUAGAUUUGAGUAGUU